CUCCCUGUCCCCAGGUCUCAGCAAUCCACAGAACUCUGCCUCCUAUCCUUCCUUCCACCUGUCAUCUUUGCUUCUGAGAUAAGAACCAUUUGUGUAACACCAAUACUUACCUAAAGAAAGACAUGCAUUAUGUGGUUGUAAUCAAACCUGAUGCUUUCAGAUGACCUACUUACAUCUUCAAUGUGGAAAAGAUUAAGAACAAAACAAAUUCAUCUAAACUUCUGGGCAAUCCAGUUGACUUUUAAAUGUAAGAAUGGAAUUCCAAACACUUAACACAUUCAGCUAUAUGACGACAGAAAGUAAAUCUAUGGAUAUGGUAUUUUGUGAAUGAUCUUUUAAAUAAAAGAGAACCUUAC
rnacentral:lncRNA from 1 species